rnacentral:rRNA from 1 species
GAUGAACGCUGGCGGCGUGCCUAAUACAUGCAAGUCGAGCGACCGCACAAGAAGAUUGCUCCCUUACCGUUAGCGACGGACGGAUGAGUAACAAGUACAUAAGCUACCUCUAAUACUGGGGUAAUUACGGGAAACAGCUUAUACUACUACAUAAUAUAUUCUACCGCUUGAAUCAAUAGUUCUUGACGCUUUUGCUGUCUCUUAUAGCUGGAUCCGCGCUGCAUUAGCUAGUUGGUAAGGUAACGGCUUACCAAGGCAACGAUGCGUAGCCGACCUGAGAGGGUGAUCGGCCACACUGGAACUGAGACACGGUCCAGACUCCUACGGGAGGCAGCAGUGGGGAAUCUUCGACAAUGGGCGAAAGCCUGACGCAGCAACGCCGCGUGAGUGAUGAAGGUCUUCGGGUCGUAAAACUCUUUUGUUAGGGAAGAACAAAUGUGGAAGAAUCUAUGCACGUCUUGACGGUACCUAAACAGAAAGCCACGGCUAACUUCGUG